rnacentral:rRNA from 1 species
AGCGAACGCUGGCGGCAGGCUUAACACAUGCGAGUCGAGCGGGCAUCCUUGUGGUGUCGGCGGCAGACGGGUGAGUAACGCGUGGGAACGUGCCCUUCGGUUCGGAAUAACUCAGGGAAACUUGAGCUAAUACCGGAUACGUGCGAGAGCAGAAAGGUUUAUCUGCCGAAGGAUCGGCCCGCGUCUGAUUAGCUAGUUGGUGAGGUUAUGGCUCACCAAGGCGACGAUCAGUAGCUGGUCUGAGAGGAUGAUCAGCCACACUGGGACUGAGACACGGCCCAGACUCCUACGGGAGGCAGCAGUGGGGAAUAUUGGACAAUGGGGGCAACCCUGAUCCAGCCAUGCCGCGUGAGUGAUGACGGCCUUAGGGUUGUAAAGCUCUUUUCUCCGGGACGAUAAUGACGGUACCGGAGGAAUAAGCCCCGGCUAACUUCGUG